rnacentral:piRNA from 1 species
UCGUAAGGUGUAAAUUGAGUAGUGGU